rnacentral:rRNA from 1 species
UAGAGUUUGAUCCUGGCUCAGAUUGAACGCUGGCGGCAGGCCUAACACAUGCAAGUCGAGCGGUAACAGAAAGUAGCUUGCUACUUUGCUGACGAGCGGCGGACGGGUGAGUAAUGCCUGGGAAUAUGCCUUGAUGUGGGGGAUAACCAUUGGAAACGAUGGCUAAUACCGCAUAAUCUCUUCGGAGCAAAGAGGGGGACCUUCGGGCCUCUCGCGUCAAGAUUAGCCCAGGUGGGAUUAGCUAGUAGGUGAGGUAAUGGCUCACCUAGGCGACGAUCUCUAGCUGGUCUGAGAGGAUGAUCAGCCACACUGGAACUGAGACACGGUCCAGACUCCUACGGGAGGCAGCAGUGGGGAAUAUUGCACAAUGGGCGCAAGCCUGAUGCAGCCAUGCCGCGUGUGUGAAGAAGGCCUUCGGGUUGUAAAGCACUUUCAGUCGUGAGGAAGGCAGUUGCGUUAAUAGCGUAAUUGUUUGACGUUAGCGACAGAAGAAGCACCGGCUAACUCCGUGCCAGCAGCCGCGGUAAUACGGAGGGUGCGAGCGUUAAUCGGAAUUACUGGGCGUAAAGCGCAUGCAGGUGGUUAGUUAAGUCAGAUGUGAAAGCCCGGGGCUCAACCUCGGAAUUGCAUUUGAAACUGGCUAGCUAGAGUACUGUAGAGGGGG